GCAGACCCUGGGGGAUCCUCUUCCUGGUCUGCUCCUGAGAGAGCCCUGGUCAGCUCAGACACUUCUACCCUGAACUCCCCUCAGCGCAGGGCCCUGAGAGGACGCCCGGAGUCCCUGGACGCAGGAAGCGGUAUAAUUGUAGAUGCCACUACAUGUUUCGGGGGCCAAAGAAAAUGAAUACAACACCAAUUCCAAAAUCAUCCGCAUCUUAUAUAAGAGGCAUAGAAGACACACACAGAGAAAUGCACUCCUAGUCUUUUUGUGACAGAACUGGCAUGAUGAACCAAAAAAAAAUGCGCUGUUGCAGAUGUUGGUGUCAUUUGAAGACCUGGCUGUGGACAUCACUCAGGAGGAGUGACAGUACCUGGACAGUUCUCAGAGGACCCUGUCAAAGAUAUGAUGAUGGAGACCUACAAUAGCCUGUUGUUUUUGGGGUACUGCAAAAGCAAACCUGAGGUGAUCUUCAAGUUGGAACAGGGGACAGAGCCAUGGACAGUGACAAAACCCCUAAAUUGGAGCCUGUCAGGAGGCCUGAUGAGAUGUGAGCUGCAGAGAAAUCUGAUGGCACUAAUGUACCUGGCAACUCAAGUGAACGUUGGGAGCCCAUCAGGCAGCCUCACAAGAUUCAGCCUUUUCAGCAGGUGUUUGAACACAGUGUAAAAGGCAAAGGGUUCAACAGGAAAAGGGUGUUCUUUACAAAUGAAAGGGCUCAUAUGGGAGACACCUGUAAUAAGUCAGUUGGCAUUGUAGGAAAGACAACUGAACAUGUAAAGAAAACUUUCCAGAAAAAGUCCUACCUCAGUAAACCUCAACAAGCACACACAGGAAAGAAACUUUAUGAAUCUUUUGAGUAUGAGGAAACUCUCAUUUACAAAUCAGAUUUUAUCACAAGUCAAAGAACACAUACAGGAAGAAAACCUAUUCUUGUAACCCCUGUGGAAAAUCUUUCAAUUGUAAAUCCUGCCUUUCUAUCCAUCAUGGAACUCAGAAAGGGGAAAGGCCCUCUGGGUGCGAUGAAUGUGGGAAAGCCAUUUACCUGAGGUCAGAUACUACAAAUCACAUGACUCACACAAGAUACAAAUCUUUCACAUGUAAAACGUGUGGCAAAGCAUUUUAUUGGAAGUCACAACUCAUUCUACAUCAGAGAAUUCACACAGGGGAGAAACCUUAUCAAUGUAAUACAUGCAGAAAAGGCUUUCAUUGGAAAACAAUCCUUAUUUCACAUCAAAGAAUUCACACAAAGGAGAAAUCUUACAAAUGUGAUAUAUGCAGAAAAGCCUUUUCCUGGAAGUCAAAUCUCACUGUACAUCAGAGAAUUCACAUAGGGCAGAAACCUUAUGAAUGUAAUAAAGGUGGAAAAGCCUUUAUCCAAAAGUCAAAUCUAACUUCACAUCAGAAGAUUCACAUAAAUGAGAAACCUUAUGGAUGUGAAAUGUGUGAAAAAACCUUUCGCUGGAAGUCAAACCUCACUACAUAUCAGAGAAAAUUCACACAGGGGAUAAACCUUUUGAAUGCAAUACAUGUGGAAAAGCCUUUUCCCAAAAAUCACAACUCAUUGCACACCAGAUGAUCCACAAAAAGGAAGAAAACUUAUGAAUGUAGUACUUGUGGAAAAUCGUUUUUCCAGAAGUCACAACUCACUCUACAUAAGACGGAGUAGAUUUAUAAAUGCAAAAUGUGUGGAAAACCCGUUUGUUGGAAAUCACAACUCUUUACCCAUCAGAGAAUGCAUAGAUCAGAGAAAAUUUAUGAAUGCAAUACAUGUGGAAAAGUCUUUUGUAAUAACUCACAACUCAUUACACAUCAGAGAGUUCACACAGGGGAGAAACCUUAUCAAUGUGAUGAAUGUGGAAAACAUUUUCCCAGAAUUCAAACUUCAGAAGGCAUCAAAGAACUCACAUGUAAGAGAUAACUUGUCAGUGCUAUGGAUAAGAAAAGACUUUUUGCCAGAAGCUACAUCUCAACAGAAGGCAAAACUCACAAAAAGGAAGAAACACCUUUUAAUGAAGUGAUUAUGAAAAUUCCUGAUGCCAGAAGUCAGUGUUAAGCACACAUCAAAGAACUCACAGGUGAGAAAGCAUGUGAAUAUAGGAAAACUUUCUACCAUAAGCCAGAUCUCACUAUCAGGGAUCUUAGAGGAAGAACUCUACAAAGGCAGUGGAAGUGGACAAAGCUUUUACUCUGAGGCAGAUUUCAACAAGCAUCAGCAAAAUUAUCCACAAAAUUAUUAGUACAUAAAAUAAGUGCUAGCAAAAUUACUCAAUAUUAUUCUGCAAAACAGUAAUGAAGGUGGAAAAAUACCUGUUUAACAUCACAUCUCUGCAGGUAUUAGGGAAUUCACAUGAGGGUGUAACACUGUACUGCAGAGGCUGGCUAUGCAGUCUUUGAAAUCUACAUUAGUCUCUGUGCCAUAUAAUCUGCUGUUUUGCCUGCACUUAUUAUGAGUAGGGGGACGAUAUCCACAUGUAAUUUUUUGUAAGUAAAUACUCAUUCUAUACUACUCAGUUUGAAAUACAACCCUAACAUUUGCAAAGUAUUUGGUACAACUCUUUCACUGCCUGCACAUGAGUCUUCCUCCAUUUAUUCUAGUACAGAUCAGUAAUGUGACCACAGUUGUGUUACCUCACAUGCCAGCCAUAAUGCUGUACUAUUAGAGUUGGAUGUUGUUUUUUUUUGUCCUAGGUAGGAUUUGUCUUGUGGCUUUUUCAGUCAUGUGAAUCGCAGAUUUGUGUGUAGACUGUCUCAUUUGUCCAUAUUACCAAUCUAUUUAUAGAUUGAAGUGGAUUCAUAAGUAUUGCUUUGGUGGCCAAAUGUCCAAACUAUCUUCCUGGGAUUGUUUCUGGGCCAAUGUUUAAUUUUUUUUCCAUUAAAAGACAAUGACAGAGCAAAACAUGUACACAGAGUUCUUAUAUUCACUACUUCACUACCACAGAUGGCUGAAACAGCCAUGUCUAGGUGAGACCAAAGCCAGGAGGCCUAAAUUCCAUUUUAGCCUCCCACAUGGGUGGAAGGGCCCCAAACAUAUGGAUCAUUAAGUACUUACUUCAUAGGAGUAUUAGCAAUGUAGUGACUGAGAAACAAAGUAGCUAGGACUCCCAGCUAACACUUAAAUAUAAAAUGUCAGCAUUGCUCACAGCAGCUUAACCUGUUGUUCCACAGUGCUGGCCAUAGUUCUUUUUAUUUUUGUCCUUGUUUGUUCUGUAGCUCUCUUGCCUCUCUACUGUGGUUAUGCCUGUUUGGAGUCAUUUACCAAUGUUCUGACUUCUGUUUUAUUUCAUUUUACUAUCUGAUGAUAUAGGCAGCUUGCUUUUCUAGUUUUUUACAUGCAGUACUAUGUUGUAAACUUGCAAUUUUCCUGCUUUUAAAAUGGCUACAAUAUCUGUAACUGUGCCAGGAUGAAGACAGGAAUCAGAAACUUCAUCUGAAACUCCCACAUGGGUACAGUGGCCCAGACAUAUGAUCUGGGAGCAGUAUUGGAAGUGGAUCAGCCAGAACUUGAAGUGAUGGCCAAUAUGAGAUGCCAGCACUGAAGACAGUGGCUUUACCCUCUAGGCCAUAGUGCCUGCCCUUUUAUAAAUUCUAUGAAACAUGUAAAAACAAUUAACAUCAAUACUUCUUAAACUAUUCAAAAAUAGGAGAGAAAUAAUUCUUCAAAAUGCAUUCUAUAAGGUCUGCAUUACCUUUAAACCAAAACCAAAGAUACAACAAAAACUCAAAUUAUAAACUAAUAUCCUUGGUAAGUACAGAUGGGAAAAUUUACAAAAAUACUAGUACAUUAAAAGGAUUACAUACUACAGUCAGAAGAGAUUUACCCCAAGGAUACUAGUGUGUUUUUACAUACACAAAUCACUACACAUGACAUGCUAUAACAACCAAAGUGCAAAAAUCGUGUGUCAUUCUCAAUAGAUGUAGAAAAGGCACUUGAUAAAAAUUAAGAGUCUUUCAUAAUAGGAACUCUGAACAAAUCAGGUACACAAUAAUGUAACAAAGGACAUAUACAACAAGCCAACAGCUGACACAAUAUUGAAUGUGGAGAGGCUGAAGAAUUCUUCUCCAAGAUCUGGAAUAACACAAAAUGAUCACUUUAAGCAUUUCUAAUUCUUUUGACAGGCAGAGUGGACAGUGAGAGAGAGAGAGACAGAGAGGAAGGUCUUCCUUUUGCCGUUGGUUCACCCUCCAGUGGCCACCGUGGCCAGCGUGCUGUGGCCGGCAUACCGCGCUGAUCCGAUGGCAGGAGCCAGGUACUUAUCCUGGUCUCCCAUGGGGUGCAGGGCCCAAGCACUUGGGCCAUCCUCCACUGCACUCCCUGGCCACAGUAGAGAGCUGGCCUGGAAGAGGGGCAACCGGGACAGAAUCUGGUGCCCCAACCGGGACUAGAACCCGGUGUGCCGGCACCGCAAG